rnacentral:lncRNA from 1 species
CUUCAGUGGGAGCUGGAUCUGUAUGAUUUAUGAUUUAUGUGAACAGGUGCCAGCAUAUAACAGGCAUACGCUUCCUGGAGAGAGUGGGACAGCAGAGCAGGCAAAGGAGAUCUUGAUUCUCAGACACAGGAGCCUUCGAAUCCAUAUGAACAGAAGUGACUCUGGUCACUCUAGAAAGGAGAAGGAUGACUCCUAUUCUGCACAUCAUGGACCUGACACGAAGCCUAAACUGCAGCGGUCCUUAACUGUAGGAGAUGCAGAAAAAGUACCAGGUAUGAAAUGCAACCGAUCAAAGUCUAUGAUCUUCAGCUCCCCUCUACAGCCUGGCAGCACUGAAUUGGUUAAUGAAGAAGGAACCGGAAAAGGGUCACAUGCAGAAAUAGAAAUAUACACAAAGGAGCAAUAGAGAGCGAAAGAAGUUUGCUGGACUGAGGUUCUCUUGCCCACAGCCACUGCACAUCUGCUAAGAACAGACUCAAAAACCUGCUCAAGGUGAAAUGAGAACUAAUCCAAGUGUUCGUCCAUGCCAUGAAGCAAACCUGGACUAUUCCCCUGAGAGAAGUCUCCCACCUCUUCCUUUUUGGUCCUGGUAACCUCAUGGUAAUAGUCUCAGGUUUCCCAGGGAUGAUUCAUAGCACCUGGGAAGCUCCAAAUCCCGCAUCAGUAACAGGAGAAUACCAGCACACAAUCACUUACAUAGAUAGAACUAGGCUAGCACUGUUUCUGCUGGAGAAAAGGGGGCAAAGCCUUCCUCAGAAGAUUUCCCUCCUGCUGCUGCUCUUGGGGCCUAGGGAUAAAGCCUGAGUGAGGAGGCUCUUCUCAAAAUAUUUUUGGAAGAGAAAAGUCCUCAGAGGCUCUGCUAAAAAGUGCUUCAGUCAGGGAAGGAAGGGGGAUAUCCUCCUCAUAGCACAGGCAGAGGUUAAGGGGAAAGUUUAAGGGCAGGGUGUGAAUGUAGAGGAAGUGAGAAACCUCAAUAUUUUGGGCAAUUCUUAGAUACUCCAGAUAUGCAUCCAAACCUUUGAGUUUUGCUUUGCCAAAUCAAACCAAAUCUCCAAAUGUAUUAGAUUCACCCAUCACUAACAUCAAUCCUUUUCCUUCUCUGCCUAUUAAUCUGCAUAAGAGAAGGUAUGGGGAGUUUAACAAAACACAAGUAAAUAAAUAGAUCCUUUGUGAAAAAAAUAUAAAGAAU